rnacentral:rRNA from 1 species
UACGUAGGGGGCAAGCGUUGUCCGGAAUCAUUGGGCGUAAAGCGCGUGUAGGCGGCUCGAUAAGUCUGCUGUGAAAGUCCAGGGCUCAACCCUGGGAUGCCGGUGGAUACUGUCGGGCUCGAGUCCGGAAGAGGCGAGUGGAAUUCCUGGUGUAGCGGUGAAAUGCGCAGAUAUCAGGAGGAACACCAAUGGCGAAGGCAGCUCGCUGGGACUUGACUGACGCUGAGACGCGAAAGCGUGGGGAGCAAACAGG